AACCUUUGCAAUGUGCGAAAGCACGACAAGGUUAAUCCGAGUGAUUCCUGCUAAAGGAAUCUUUUGUUAGUCAUAAAACCACUGAUGAAUAAGGGGUGGGCAAGUUCUGGUGUCAGCCGCCGCGGUAAUACCAGCACCUCGAGUGGUCAGGAGGUUUAUUGGGCCUAAAGCAUCCGUAGCCGGCUGCUCAAGUUUCCGGUUAAAUCCACACGCUUAACGUAUGGGCUGCCGGAAAUACUGUUCAGCUAGGGAGUGGGAGAGGUAGACGGUACUCGAUAGGAAGGGGUAAAAUCCUUUGAUCUAUUGAUGACCACCUGUGGCGAAGGCGGUCUACCAGAACACGUUCGACGGUGAGGGAUGAAAGCUGGGGGAGCAAACCGGAUUAGAUACCCGGGUAGUCCCAGCUGUAAACGAUGCAGACUCGGUGAUGCAUUGGCUUAUGGCCAGUGCAGUGCCGCAGGGAAGCCGUUAAGUUUGCCGCCUGGGAAGUACGUACGCAAGUAUGAAACUUAA
rnacentral:rRNA from 1 species